GAGGGUAUAGCUCAGGGGCAGAGUGCAUGUUUAGCAUGCAUGAGGUCCUGGGUUCAAUCCCCAGUACCUCCA
rnacentral:tRNA from 1 species